CCUGAUUUUCUGCAUGUGCACCAUAGCUCCCCCUGCCCUGCUCUUUCAGUAUUUGCGAAGACAAAUAGGUUUGCUUAGCAAACUCUUUUACUAAGGUUGUGUCGUAUCUCAUUCCUCUACAUUUUGUUCCAUCCAGAAUCUUGGAGAAGACUGUGGCAGCUCACAUAUGGAGAUGAUGCCAUUUUCCUCGCCCUGUUGAGUCAAGUUCUAGAAAUGUUCAGUAUUGACUGAAAGCUACAGAAAGGAGCUCUGAGGAGGAAAGGAAAAAUGUCAGAAAAGUGAAGGUUGGGAAUUCUUUGCCUUACAAAAGAGAUACAUUGGAGGACAAUUAAAAUUAAUUACAAGUGGAGCUUCUGUAGUCCUCAUAACACAAAAGCACAGAGAUAUUCUUUGAAAAGGAGAAAAAAAAAGGAUAAUAUGAAGCCUUUCCUGUUAAAGAAAGAAAGUUGUUUGUGCUUUAGGCUCUUGGUCCAACUUUCUUUUAGUCUGUAGAUGUUUGCUGAAGACUUCUUUGCUUCUCAGACUUCUCAGACUUGCAAUUAGAUUGUAAAACUACUGCUAUAGGAAGUAAGUGGGGGCAAAACAAGGCCACUGUCCCUAGCAGGAUUAGAGAAGGAUGGGUUAUUUCUGUGAACCAUGGAAGUAUGCACAGCUAAUGUAAACAAAGUGUCCCAGCAGGAAGAGAGUUCCUACAUCAGACUUUAAGCUGAAUUCUAACUUCUAGGCAGUGAGAUGAGCAAUUCAUGGAGACUGAUAACUACAGCCAGUCUGUUAGGGCUGUUUUACCUUCAUCUGUGGAGUGAUAUUGGCAGAAGCUGAAGAAAAUACUGAUCUACAAGCUAUGCUGUAGUCUAAUCUUUUCCAUUUAUUUUUCCAGGAUUUUUUAAAGUAGCUGAUUUCAUACAUGCAAGUUUAAGGUUAUGCUUCUAGGGGAAUAGAUUUCUGGAGUGAAUGAAGGAAGCAGAGUACCUUGAGGUUAUUCUGGUUUUUUUGUUGAUGAAAUUGUUGUGUUUUUAUUUUCGAUUUGAGGAUAAAAUAAAUAAAGAAGCAAGACCUUAUUCAAUUGCUUAAUGAACAAC
ensembl:lncRNA